GGGGGGAUGCCUAAUACAUGCAAGUCGAACGAGUUCUCGUUGAUGAUCGGUGCUUGCACCGAGAUUCAACAUGGAACGAGUGGCGGACGGGUGAGUAACACGUGGGUAACCUGCCCUUAAGUGGGGGAUAACAUUUGGAAACAGAUGCUAAUACCGCAUAGAUCCAAGAACCGCAUGGUUCUUGGCUGAAAGAUGGCGUAAGCUAUCGCUUUUGGAUGGACCCGCGGCGUAUUAGCUAGUUGGUGAGGUAAUGGCUCACCAAGGCGAUGAUACGUAGCCGAACUGAGAGGUUGAUCGGCCACAUUGGGACUGAGACACGGCCCAAACUCCUACGGGAGGCAGCAGUAGGGAAUCUUCCACAAUGGACGCAAGUCUGAUGGAGCAACGCCGCGUGAGUGAAGAAGGCUUUCGGGUCGUAAAACUCUGUUGUUGGAGAAGAAUGGUCGGCAGAGUAACUGUUGUCGGCGUGACGGUAUCCAACCAGAAAGCCACGGCUAACUACGUGCCAGCAGCCGCGGUAAUACGUAGGUGGCAAGCGUUAUCCGGAUUUAUUGGGCGUAAAGCGAGCGCAGGCGGUUUUUUAAGUCUGAUGUGAAAGCCCUCGGCUUAACCGAGGAAGCGCAUCGGAAACUGGGAAACUUGAGUGCACAAGAGGACAGUGGAACUCCAUGUGUAGCGGUGAAAUGCGUAGAUAUAUGGAAGAACACCAGUGGCGAAGGCGGCUGUCUGGUCUGUAACUGACGCUGAGGCUCGAAAGCAUGGGGUAUCGAAACAGGAUUAGAUACCCUGGUAGUCCAUGCCGUAAACGAUGAAUGCUCCGUGUUGGAGGGUAUCCGCCCUUCAUUGCCGCAUUUAACGGAUUAAACAUUCCGCCUGGGAAGUACGACCGACAGG
rnacentral:rRNA from 2 species